rnacentral:rRNA from 1 species
UACGGAGGGUGCAAGCGUUAUCCGGAAUCACUGGGUUUAAAGGGUGCGUAGGCGGUGGUGUUAGUCAGUUGUGAAAUGCCCCGGCUUAACCGGCGGAAGUGCGAUUGAUACUGCAUCACUUGAAUCAGGAUGAGGCAGGCGGAAUGUGGCAUGUAGCGGUGCAAUGCUUAGAUAUGCCAUAGAACACCGAUUGCGAAGGCAGCUUGCUGGGCCUGAAUUGACGCUGAGGCACGAAAGCGUGGGGAGCAAACAGG